rnacentral:misc_RNA from 1 species
GAUUGAUAUAUAUACACUCGCUACAAUUAGUUGUUGUCAUGCUUUUAGAAGAAAGUGAAACAAAACUCAAUACUCAUUCCACCCAAUUUAUGUCCAAGUCCUUGAGUUUCAUGAGCCAUUUCUUUGCAUCUUGUGCAACAAAAGGUUUAGACGAUGUCGUUUCACAAUUUACAUCAUUAGCUAAUAAUUCAACUUUCUUCUCUUUGGCAAAGCUUGCUUGUCU